UACGUAGGGGGCAAGCGUUAUCCGGAUUUACUGGGUGUAAAGGGGGCGCAGACGGCGAUGCAUGCCAGGAGUGAAAGCCCGGGGCCCAACCCCGGGACUGCUCUUGGAACUGCGUGGCUGGAGUGCAGGAGGGGCAGGCGGAAUUCCUGGUGUAGCGGUGAAAUGCGUAGAUAUCAGGAGGAACACCGGUGGCGAAGGCGGCCUGCUGGACUGCAACUGACGUUGAGGCCCGAAAGCGUGGGGAGCAAACAGG
rnacentral:rRNA from 1 species